rnacentral:lncRNA from 1 species
UUGCUCACCUUAUCUCUGUUUAUACCACCACGCCUAUGCUUCACAUAGGUCCAUUCCCCAUAUGUAGUCAAAAGGGAAUUGGAUACAUUAUGGGAAAAGCAAUUAUUUCUCAACAUCUCGCUUGCAAACUUAGGAUUAAGAGCCACCGGGAAUGUACGAGCUAGAGUGUUGAACAUUUGAUGUACUAAUCACUAGAAGGAUCUUAAUUAUUUUUUCCUACUAGAAUAUGGAUUUCCUGUAGUGGUGCCACUCACUAACCAGCUACUCAUAAGUAGCCUUGUUCAAGUUGUACACAUUAGAAAUAGACCCCAACAAACUCUAGAAGUAUAUUUACCAAAAGGAUUCUCCUCUCUAAGCAUUUUUAACAUGGUCCCUUUUACAGUGAUUCACAUCUGUUAAUUCCAAUACUAGAUUGGACCACUGCUCAACAUUUGCUAAGUAUAUUGGAUUAACUGAUAGUAAAGUUUUCACGGUGCUUAUCCAUGAAUUCGGCAAAGUUCUGAU